rnacentral:rRNA from 1 species
ACUUCGGGUGAUAGUGGCGGACGGGUGAGUAACGCGGGAGAAUCUAGCUCUAGGUCGGGGACAACCACUGGAAACGGUGGCUAAUACCGGAUGAGCCGAACGGUAAAAGAUUAAUUGCCUAGAGAUGAGCUCGCGUCUGAUUAGCUAGUAGGUGUGGUAAGAGCGCACCUAGGCGACGAUCAGUAGCUGGUCUGAGAGGAUGAUCAGCCACACUGGGACUGAGACACGGCCCAGACUCCUACGGGAGGCAGCAGUGGGGAAUUUUCCGCAAUGGGCGAAAGCCUGACGGAGCAAUACCGCGUGAGGGAGGAAGGCUCUUGGGUUGUAAACCUCUUUUCUCAGGGAAUAAGAACUGAAGGUACCUGAGGAAUAAGCAUCGGCUAACUCCGUGCCAGCAGCCGCGGUAAUACGGAGGAUGCAAGCGUUAUCCGGAAUGAUUGGGCGUAAAGGGUCCGCAGGUGGCCUUGUAAGUCUGCUGUUAAAGAGUGAGGCUUAACCUCAUAAAAGCAGUGGAAACUACAAAGCUAGAGUGCGUUCGGGGUAGCAGGAAUUCCUGGUGUAGCGGUGAAAUGCGUAGAGAUCAAGAAGAACAGCGGUGGCGAAAGCGUGCUACUA